rnacentral:misc_RNA from 1 species
CCUGGUUGAUUCUGCCAGUAGUCAUAUGCU